rnacentral:tRNA from 1 species
GGGAAGGUGGCUCAGUGGUAGAGUGCUUGCCUUGUAUGCCUGAGGCCCUGGGUUCGAUUCCUCAGCACCCCA